rnacentral:rRNA from 1 species
GAAAGUAAGUAAGGGCGUAUGGGGGAUGCCUAGGCUCUUGGAGGCUAAGAAGGACGUGGUAAGCUGCGAAAAGCUGCGGGGAUUUGCAAACGAGACUCGAUCCGCAGAUAUCCGAAUGGGACAACCCGGCAGGUAGAAGACCUGUCACACCGCGAGGUGAGCUAACCCUCUGAACUGAAACAUCUAAGUAGGAGGAGGAAAAGAAAGAAACAUCGAUUUCCAAAGUAGCGGCGAGCGAAAUGGAAGAAGCCCAAACCGAUAUUGUUACGGCAAUAUCGGGGUUGUAGGACUGCAAUAUUCAAUUAACAAUGAACUGGAAUGGUCUGGAAAGUCCAUCCAUAGAGAGUGAAAGGCUCGUACAGGUAAGUUUGUUAUGCGAUAGCAGUAUCCUGAGUAUGGCGGGACACGAGGAAUCCUGUCAGAAUCAGCCGGGACCACCCGGUAAGGCUAAAUACUCCCAAGAGACCGAUAGUGGACCAGUACUGUGAAGGAAAGGUGAAAAGAACCCCGAACAGGGGAGUGAAAUAGAACCUGAAACCAUACGCUUACAACCGGUCGGAGCAGCUUCGUGCUGUGACGGCGUGCCUAUUGAAUAAUGAGCCUACGAGUUACUAAUCACUAGCGAGGUUAAGUGCAAGGAUGCACGGAGCCGAAGCGAAAGCGAGUCUGAACAGGGCGUUUAGUUAGUGGUUGUAGACGCGAAACCUUGCGAUCUACCCUUGAGCAGGUUGAAGGUUGGGUAAAACCAACUGGAGGACCGAACGAAUAAGCGUUGAAAAGCUUCUCGAUGACUUGAGGGUAGGGGUGAAAGGCUAAUCAAGCUGGGAAAUAGCUCGUACUCCCCGAAAUGCCUUUUGGGGCAGCGUUGUAAUAAAGAGUCUACUGGAGGUAGAGCUACUGAUUGGAUGCGGGGGCUUCACCGCCUACCAAAUCCUGACAAACUCCGAAUGCCAGUAGUAUGAUUUACAGCAGUGAGCGACCGGGUGCUAAUGUCCGGUUACGAGAGUGGAACAACACAGACCAGCAACUAAGGUCCCGAAGAAUAUGCUAAGUUGAUCUAACGAUGUUUUGUUGCAGAGACAGCUAGGAUGUUAGCUUGGAAGCAGCUAUUCAUUCAAAGAGUGCGUAACAGCUCACUAGUCGAGCGACAGAGCGUGGAUAAUAAACGGGCAUCAAGCAUAUCACCGAAGUUCUGGGCGCGAGAGCGCGGUAGGGGAGCAUUCCAUUCAGCGUCGAAGCAGUUUCGUGAGGAAUUGUGGAGCGUAUGGAAAAGCAAAUGUAGGCAUGAGUAACGAUAAUGCGGGAGAGUAACCCGCACACCGCAAGACCAAGGUUUCCUGAUCAACGCUAAUCGGAUCAGGGUUAGUCGGGUCCUAAGGGUAAGCCGAACGGCGAUCUCGAUGGAUAAUCGGUUAAUAUUCCGAUACUAACAUAUACCUCGAUGGAGAGACGAAGGAACGUAAGUGCCGCCACCUGACGGAAUAGGUGGUUAAAGGGCGUAGGUAUAGGGGCAGAUUAAGAGUUAGUCCUUGCUGAAACCUGACAGUACAGAGAGCCUACGGGCAAUUUGAUAGAGCACCCAAGUCGACUUCCGAGAAAAUCUUCUAAGUUAUAGUAUAUGUUACCCGUACCGUAAACCGACACAGGUGGUCGAGGAGAGUAUCCUAAGGUGCUCGAGUGAAUCACGGUUAAGGAACUAGGCAAAUUGACCCUGUAACUUCGGGAAAAGGGGUCCCUAUGAAAGUAGGGCGCAGCGAAGAGGUCCAGGCGACUGUUUAUCAAAAACACAGGGCUCUGCAAAUUCGAAAGAAGACGUAUAGGGCCUGACACCUGCCCGGUGCUGGAAGGUUAAGAGGGGAUGUCAUCGCAAGAGAAGCAUUGAAUCGAAGCCCCAGUAAACGGCGGCCGUAACUAUAACGGUCCUAAGGUAGCGAAAUUCCUUGUCGGGUAAGUUCCGACCUG